UUGAACGCUGGCGGCAUGCUUUACACAUGCAAGUCGAACGGCAGCGGGGGCUUCGGCCUGCCGGCGAGUGGCGAACGGGUGAGUAAUGCAUCGGAACGUACCCAGUCGUGGGGGAUAACUACGCGAAAGCGUAGCUAAUACCGCAUACGCCCUGAGGGGGAAAGCGGGGGACCUUCGGGCCUCGCGCGAUUGGAGCGGCUGAUGUCUGAUUAGCUAGUUGGUGGGGUAAAGGCCUACCAAGGCGACGAUCCGUAGCUGGUCUGAGAGGAUGAUCAGCCACACUGGGACUGAGACACGGCCCAGACUCCUACGGGAGGCAGCAGUGGGGAAUUUUGGACAAUGGGCGCAAGCCUGAUCCAGCCAUGCCGCGUGAGUGAAGAAGGCCUUCGGGUUGUAAAGCUCUUUCGGCAGGAACGAAAAGGCCCGGGUAAAUAAUCCGGGUUGAUGACGGUACCUGAAGAAGAAGCACCGGCUAACUACGU
rnacentral:rRNA from 1 species